UACGGGGGGGGCAAGCGUUGUUCGGAAUUACUGGGCGUAAAGGGCUCGUAGGCGGCCAACUAAGUCGGAUGUGAAAAUCCCCCAGGCUUAACCUGGGAACUGCAUCCGAUACUGGAUGGCUUGAAUCCGGGAGAGGGAUGCGGAAUUCCAGGUGUAGCGGUGAAAUGCGUAGAUAUCUGGAGGAACACCGGUGGCGAAGGCGG
rnacentral:rRNA from 1 species